AUUGAACGCUGGCGGCAGGCCUAACACAUGCAAGUCGAGCGAGCGGCGGACGGGUGAGUAAUGUAUGGAGAUCCCCCAGAUAGAGGGGGAUAACUACUAGAAACUGUGGCUAAUACCGCAUACUAUCGUAUGUACACAUAUGGGAUUCGCUAGGAGGUGGGGGAAAGGCUCACCUAGGCGACGAUCUCUAGCUGGUCGUAGAGGAUGAUCAUCCACACUGGGACUGAGACACGGUCCAGAAGCCUACGGGAGGCAGCAGUGGGGAAUAUUGCACAAUGGGCGGAAGCCGUAUGCAGCAAUGCCGCGUGUAUGAAGAAGGCCUUCGGGUUGUAAAGUACUUUCAGCGGGGAGGCGUUACCCGCAGAAGAAGCACCGGCUAACUCCGUGCCAGCAGCCGCGGUAAUUC
rnacentral:rRNA from 1 species